GGAGGAGUGGCCGAGCGGCUUAAGGCGACGGUCUUGAAAACCGUUGGACGGGAAACUGUCCCGGGGGUUCGAAUCCCUCCUCCUCCG
rnacentral:tRNA from 1 species